rnacentral:rRNA from 1 species
ACGGAAGGCAGUAGUGGGGAAUAUUGCACAAUGGGGGAAACCCUGAUGUAGCGAUGCCGCGUGGAGGAAGAAGGUUUUCGGAUUGUAAACUCCUGUCUUAAGGGACGAUAAUGACGGUACCUUAGGAGGAAGCUCCGGCUAACUACGUGCCAGCAGCCGCGGUAAUACGUAGGGAGCGAGCGUUGUCCGGAAUUACUGGGUGUAAAGGGAGCGUAGGCGGGAUGGUAAGUCAGAUGUGAAAUCUAUGGGCUCAACCCAUAGACUGCAUUUGAAACUGCUGUUCUUGAGUGAAGUAGAGGUAAGCGGAAUUCCUAGUGUAGCGGUGAAAUGCGUAGAUAUUAGGAGGAACAUCGGUGGCGAAGGCGGCUUACUGGGCUUUUACUGACGCUGAGGCUCGAAAGCGUGGGGAGCAAACAGGAUUAGAUACCCUGGUA